CAGCCGCCACGGGAAUACAGAGGGUGCGAGCGUUAAUCGGAUUUACUGGGCGUAAAGCGUGCGUAGGCGGCUUUUUAAGUCGGAUGUGAAAUCCCUGAGCUUAACUUAGGAAUUGCAUUCGAUACUGGGAAGCUAGAGUAUGGGAGAGGAUGGUAGAAUUCCAGGUGUAGCGGUGAAAUGCGUAGAGAUCUGGAGGAAUACCGAUGGCGAAGGCAGCCAUCUGGCCUAAUACUGACGCUGAGGUACGAAAGCAUGGGGAGCAAACAGGAUUAGAGACCCGCGUAGUCCCUGUCUCUUAUAA
rnacentral:rRNA from 1 species